AGUGGGCGCACAUUAAGGGGACCGCUGCGCUAAGUCAGAGGAAGGAGAGGUCAACGGUAGGUCAGUAUGCCCCGAAUCUCCCGGGCUACACGCGCGCUACAAAGGACAGGACAAUGGGAUGCAAUACCGAGAGGUAACGCCAACCCGAAACCUGUUCGUAGUUCGGACUGAGGGCUGUAACUCGCCCUCACGAAGCUGGAUUCCGUAGUAAUCGCGGGUCAACAUCCCGCGGUGAAUAUGCCCUGCUCUUU
rnacentral:rRNA from 1 species